AACACUCCCAAUUUUAGGGCCUUGUCCCAAUGCCUCGACUUUGUUCACUGGUGUUGGGCUUAUGGAGACACUAAGAAACUGUCUUUAGAAAGCGUAGUGUGGGUACAUCAUUAGAUGCUUGCUGUACACUCAGGGUUUGUAAGAGUCAGAAGAGUAUACUGAAACAGAACUGCCUACACACAACACUCUUUCUUUGUACAUAACCCCCAUCAUAACGCCAGGAACGGAAAACUAG